GAUGAAGAACGUAGCGAAACGCGAUACUUGGUGUGAAUUGCAGAAUCCCGUGAACCAUCGAGUCUUUGAACGCAAGUUGCGCCUCAAGCCAUUAGGUUGAGGGCACGUCUGCCUGGGCGUCACAUAUCGUUGCCUGAUGCCAGUUUCCUCGUGAUGGGUGACUGUGCAGGGCGAAUGAUGGCUUCCCGUGAGCAUUGUUGCCUCAUGGUUGGUUGAAAAUUGAGUCCUUGGUAGGGAGCGCCGUGAUAGAUGGUGGUUGAGUGACGAACGAGACCCAAUCAUGUGAGACCCCUACCGAAUUUGGCCUUCAUGACCCACAUGCGUCUUUGGAACGCUCAUGACGAGACCUCAGGUCAGGCGGGGCUACCCGCUGAGUUUAAGCAUAUCAAUAAGCGGAGGA
rnacentral:misc_RNA from 1 species